ensembl:lncRNA
GGGUACCGGUACAGAGUCAAUGUGGAGGCUAUAUACAGGGUAUUACGGUACAGAGUCAAUGUGGAGGCUAUAUACAGGGGGUACCGGUACAGAGUCAAUGUGGAGGCUAUAUACAGGGGGUACCGGUACAGAGUCAAUGUGGAGGCUAUAUACAGGGUAUUACGGUACAGAGUCAAUGUGGAGGCUAUAUACAGGGUAUUACGGUACAGAGUCAAUGAGGAGGCUAUAUACAGGGUGUUACGGUACAGAGUCAAUGUGGAGGCUAUAUACAGGGGGUUACAGUACAGAGUCAAUGUAGAGGCUAUAUGCAGGGUAUUAUGGUACAGAGUCAAUGAGGAGGCUAUAUACAGGGUCUUAUGGUACAGAGUCAAUGUGGAGGCUAUAUACAGGGGGUUACGGUACAGAGUCAAUGUGGAGGCUAUAUACAGGGGGUUACGGUACAGAGUCAAUGUGGAGGCUAUAUACAGGGGGUUACGGUACAGAGUCAAUGUGGAGACUAUAUACAGGGGGUACCGGUACAGAGUCAAUGUGGAGGCUAUAUACAGGGUGUUACGGUACAGAGUCAAUGUGGAGGCUAUAUACAGGGUGUUACGGUACAGAGUCAAUGUGGAGGCUAUAUACAGGGGGUACUGGUACAGAGUCAAUGUGGAGGCUAUAUACAGGGUAUUACGGUACAGAGUCAAUGAGGAGGCUAUAUACAGGGUAUUACGGUACAGAGUCAAUGUGGAGGCUAUAUACAG